GACGAACGCUGGCGGCGUGCUUAACACAUGCAAGUCGAACGGAAAGGUCCUGCUUUUGUGGGGUGCUCGAGUUGCGACCGGGUGAGUAACACGUGAGUAACCUGCCCUUGACUUUGGGAUAACUUCAGGCCACUGGGUCUAAUACCGGCUAGGAGUUCCUGCUGCUUGGUGGGGGUUGGAUAGUUUAGGCGGUUGGGGAUGGACUCGCGGCUUAUCAGCUUGUUGGUGGGGUAGUGGCUUACCAAGGCUUUGACGGGUGGCCGGCCUGGGAGGAUGACCGGCCACGUUGGGACUGGAAUACGGCCCGGACUCCUACGGGAGGCAGCAGUGGGGAAUAUAGCACAAUGGGCGGAAGCCUGAUGCAGCAACGCCGCGUGCGGGAUGACGGCCUUCGGGUUGUAAACCGCUUUCGCCUGUGACGAAGCGUGAGUGACGGUAAUGGGUAAAGAAGCACCGGCUAACUACGUG
rnacentral:rRNA from 1 species